UUGGGUCAAAUACAGUAGCUCGCAUGAGAGUGAACCACGACCUUUACGAAAGGAGAAAUGUUUCCCGUGACUACGUCCGAAACUGCCCUUUGAUGCUUCUGCACGAACGCCGCCGGUAAACCGAGCGUGCAUGGCGAGGGAUAUGUCUCAACUCGUUUCAUGUGUAUCCAGCAAAGCAGAUUAGACGACAUCCAACAAGACAUCUGUACGGAGGGCGAAAAAUUAUUUUUUAUGAG
rnacentral:ncRNA from 1 species